rnacentral:lncRNA from 1 species
UAUGAAUAGCAUUCAUAAGGACAGGAUAAGUAAAGGCAUAUGCUCAAUGGAGUGCUCAACAGAAGGGUGCAUGUUGAACAGCAACAGUGACCCAAACAAAACUUUGGUCCAGGUUUCUAGCCUUUGAAAUGAGUCUUUAAAACUAACAUAUCCCAUUAGCACUUCUCUUAUCCUCACAAGUGAAACAACUCCAGGUAAAGUGAAUUAUGGAAUAUGGAGCAAGUACUGUCACCGGGCAUUUGGCAUCAAAAAGAGCAAAUUUCUGAGACAAGAAGUCUUGUAGCAGCCUCUUGAGUUAGAAGAGCUAGUUUCUCUUUUCCAUGUGGUAGGAGGUUCCACCAAGGUUCAGGUAUAUGUCAUCUUUUUCCCUUGCAAAGACACUUAUUGAAUCUUCUUUGCUGAUGUUUUACUAGUGUGGCUUAAUGAUUUUUGAGGCUAUGGACCAUUGAACCAAAUCCGUUGGAGCUUUCUCCACACACAUCUAAUAUUGCCAGUUGGUUUUCAUGAAGUGAAAAGGCAUUUGCAAAUGAGAUAUUUGGUCAAGUACUUCGAGAGUAGUAAAAAUUGUUUUCAGAAGCUAGAACAAAAACAAUUUUUGCUUUAAAAGUAUUUUUUUGUUGUUGUGAAAAAUGCACUUAGAGAUGCUUUUUAAAAAUGUAGCCAGAACACUAAUUGUUGCUCAAAAUUACUUUUUUCUUAUAUUGAACAGCAAAACACAAAAUCUUUGUUUUAUUUUCCCAAAGCAGGUGAUUCAGUAAAUUUGAAUUUGCUUGAGUUCCAAGGAUUCUUGAUACAUUACAUCAGUAUUAUGUUAGUUUGGCUGUUUCAAAUUUGUGCUGAUUGUCUUUUCAUAUAGAAGUGGUGUUCACUUCAUCAGAGCUAGAGAACAAUGUCAAAGUAAAAGCAGUAAAGAAAUAAGAAGUUGAAACAGAAGAUCCAUAUGAGAUUACUUCUUGGGGUUCAUAGAGACUACAGCUUUGUUCUACAAACUCAGUCAUCAGUCUGCACUGUACAAUUUACUUCUUCUAUCCUUACUAAACACUGAAUCAGCAGGUGUUCUGUAUACAAGCAAAAAAUAAACCCAAAAUGUUUGUUGUCAGUCCCCCAUUUGUAACAUCCUACCUACCACUACUCUGUAGUUAGCUAAAACCUCUCAAUUUCCUAAUCUUGAACUAGUCAUACUUCUUAAAAGCUAAAACCCAGCCAAACUGUGAUAUCUUCUGUGCUGCUAAAACAGAUGCACAAAAAGCAGCCAGAGAAAAUACUAACAGAAGCACCAUAGCACUAUUCAAACCCAUUAAUGGCUUAGGUUGUAGGAGCUUCUUGUGCUGCUUCAACAUAAGGUGACUGUACACUAUCCUCAUCAGAAUCACUCCCAGAAGAACUUCCUGAAUCUGUAAAUAUUAACCAUGGCAAAAGUAAAUAUACCAUCACACUUGUUAACCAGAAUGAACUAAAGAAAGAAAGAGUUAUACCACCGGAAGAAGAACCACUGCCAGAACUUGAGCCGCUAGAGCUGCUUGGAUCCUUGUCGAUCUGCACAGGAGGAAAGUUUUCACCUGGUAUUUCCUCACCAAUAUCAACAUCCUCCUCCACAACGUCCACUUUCUUGAUUUCAGGCAUUGCAUGUUCUGGUGUUGGUGCCUUCUCAGGCGACUUAUUUACAAAAAGCAACAUGGUGAUCAGCACACAUGGCACAAUAUAGAGUUACUAAACAAAUGUAUGGGGGGAAAAAACCAUAUGAUUUCUUUACCUUGUUGAGCAGUACGGCCGCGGCAUUUUCUGUGACUCCUGGUCUCUCAAUCUUGCUCAUAGCCUCCUUAUGGGAAAUAACAUAUGUAUCCAGUUCCCACAGUGUUUCAUUGUCCAUGAUCUCAAGGUCGAGCUCAACCUCAUUCCCAUCCUCUGUAAGAUUAGGGAAUUUCCUCUUCACAAUUUGCACGACAUGUCCCAUAUUCUCUGGGGGAAGAUUCUGCAACUCAUUCCCUAACUUGUCCCUUUCACCUUCGGUCAUAAGCCUUUUGUUCGGAUCCGUAGCCUUCAGCUUGGGCAUCUUAGCUGACCUAGGCAUCUCAACAACAGGCUGUAGAGGAGAUUUUGAAGCAGGG